UUCCACUGAUGAACUACAUUCUUUGGUCCAUGUUUAUGAGGCGGCCUCAAGACCCGCCGCAUGAGUGACAAACAAGAUCCGUCUACGGGCGGGCGACUGAGGGA
rnacentral:snoRNA from 1 species